CUAACAGCGCUGGAGAUCAAAGUGCUCUUUUUAUUCAUAGGAUAGGUACAGCAUGGGCAACAGAAGUGCAAACGUCCCACACAGUGUUCCAGCAAUGUGCUUCAGCUCUGACCCAGAAAAGCUGUUAGUGAGCAAAGAGUGCAGUCUCCAUUCCUGUUUAAGAGUGGAUCUCU
rnacentral:sRNA from 1 species